AGAUUGAACGCUGGCGGCAUGCCUUACACAUGCAAGUCGAACGGCAGCACGGGAGCAAUCCUGGUGGCGAGUGGCGAACGGGUGAGUAAUAUAUCGGAACGUGCCCAGUCGUGGGGAUAACGUAGAGAAAUUUACGCUAAUACCGCAUACGAUCCAAGGAUGAAAGCGGGGGACCUAAGGCCUCGCGCGACUGGAGCGGCUGAUAUCAGAUUAGCUUGUUGGUGAGGUAAAAGCUCACCAAGGCGACGACCUGUAGCUGGUUUGAGAGAACGACCAGCCACACUGGGACUGAGACACGGCCCAGACUCCUACGGAGGCAGCAGUGGGAAUUUUGGACAAGUGGGCGAAAGCCUGAUCCAGCAAUGACCGCGUGCAGGAAGAAGGCCUUACGGUGUAAAGCUACUUUGGCUAGGAAGAAACGGCGUGCCCGUAAUACGGACGUCACUGACGUACCUAGCUAGAAUAAGCUACGACUACU
rnacentral:rRNA from 1 species